UUUAAGGAAAAAAUAAGGCUUAAAUUUUGUAAGGUUUUAAAAAGUAAAUGACAAGAUUAAUAUUUUUGUUGUUCUAGGACAAUAAAGUAAGGCAGCUAGUUUUGAAAUAAUCCCAGAGUGAAGAAGGAAAAAAAGAGAUUCAUAACUAAGGGCCUGGGUUAUGUUGGCCAGAAACUCAGAUCCAAACGUUGAUGCCAGAAGCUUUCUCUAUGGGCCCCUACCAGGUUCGUUCUUCUGACUGUUCCCACAGCUGUCAACCUUGUGGGUGUGGACUCCUGGAUCAUCUAAAGAAAGCCCCAUGCCUGAAUGGACAGAAAAAUCUCCUGGGACCUAAAAGUUCAUCUAGGGAUCCUGACUUGAGAGAUGGAACUGCAGCUGACAUACUACAGGAUAAAGUGGCCAAUCACACCUCCUGUCACUGUGAACAAUUUUUCUGCACCUAUAACUUCUAAGUGAACUUAACCAGGUGCUGCACUCAUGUUCCUGCCAUCCUAACAUGAAUUCUGUGCCCCACUGAACGUUCACAAAACUGAGCAACUCUUAAGAUGAGAUAAUCACAUCGCUCAACAAUUCUAAAAACUUGAAGGCUGUUCCCACAAGACUCAAGAAUGCUUGUAUUGUCCCCAAAAUUCCUGCAUGCAUGGACCUGCUAUAGGAACUGUUUACUCAAGAUCUUAAGAAUGACUGGAUUGGGCCCUGCCUUUUUGUGGUUUUCAUGCUUAAAAACUCUACCCUGCAACAGGUGAGCAAGCCCUCCUUCUCUGGAAAGUGGACUUCUACUUGAAAGAAUUUUCCUCACUGUGAAAUUAAACUGCUAUUUGAUUCUUUACUCACCUGCCUCUGGCCUGCUUUGUUUGGCUCUGGCCACCCACAGAUUAGAGACUGGUCUAGUCCAUACUACAUUUAAAAUUCUUU